UGAAAUGCUGUUUCCCAUAUGAUCACUGAAGUUAAGCAAAAUUGAGUCUGAUCAGUACCUAGAUGGGUGACCACUUGGGAAUACUAGAUACUGUAAG
rnacentral:rRNA from 1 species